rnacentral:rRNA from 1 species
AUUGAACGCUGGCGGCAUGCCUUACACAUGCAAGUCGAACGGCAGCACGGGUGCUUGCACCUGGUGGCGAGCGGCGAACGGGUGAGUAAUACAUCGGAACAUGUCCUGUAGUGGGGGGUAGCCCGGCGCAAGCCGGAUUAAUACCGCAUACGAUCUACGGAUGAAAGCGGGGGACUUUCGGGCCUCGCGCGAUCGGGUUGGGCGAUGGCUGAUUGGCUAGUUGCUGGGGUGAAGGGCUACCAAGGCGACGGGCAGUAACUGGUCGGCGAGGUGGACCAGCGACCCGGGACAUUGGAAACGGCCCAGACCCCUACGGGAGGCAGGAGGGGGGAAUGUUGGACAAUGGGCGAAAGCCGGAUCCAGGAAGGACGCGUGUGUGAAGAAGGCUGUCGGGUUGUAAAGCGCUUUUGUCCGGAAAGAAAGGCCUGGCCCUAACACGGGCGGGGGAUGACGGUACCGGAAAAAUAAGCACCGGCUAACUACGUG